rnacentral:lncRNA from 1 species
GAGUGUUCCGGAGAGCACGUGUUAGGGAAGGAGGAGGCUGCGGGCUAACCUGCCGGGAGGGAGGGAUAAACUGGUAAACACCUCUUGGGUUCCAAGAGAAGGAAGAGGACACAUACUGCUCUUCAGAUCCGUAUACUGAUCCCCACUACAACCAGUGAACCGGAACAUUGAAUCUGGAUAGGGGGCCCUGGUGACUAAGAUGGCACGCUCUAAAGAUCUAGGGCACUCUCUUGGCCCUGUUUUGCAUCCUAUGCAGGCUGUGUGUACACAGCAAGGAUAUUUCCUGGAGGGAAUUCAUGAAACAGCACUACCUAAGUCCAAGCCAAGAAUUCAGAAAAUACAAAUGCAACGUCCUCAUGAGGGAAAAAGAAGCUCUGAAAGACAAGAGCUCUUGGGUGUUCAUCUAUACCUCAUGGUACAAAUGGAGCAUAUAUGCGUCAAUGACAACUGAAAUGACCGCUACAGAAAUGUAUGUAUAUAGGCCCAGAAUGCCCUGAAAGAACUCAGUUGUCACCAGGAGAAUUCAAAAAAAAGCAACACAUUGUCUGGGUGCAGUGGCCAUAACUAUAUUCCCAACACUUGAGGCCAGGAGUCAAGACCAGCCUGGGCAACAUAGCCAGACCCCAUCUAUACAAAAAAAUAAAAUAAAAUUACCUGACAUAAUGAUGCACAUGUGUAGUCCUAACUAGUGGGGAGGCCGAGGCAGGGGAAUUGCUUGAACCCUGGAGAUUGAGGUUGCUGUGAGCCAUGAUCACACCACUACACUCCAUCCCAGGAAGCAGAGCAAGACCCUGUCUCUUUUUUUUUUUUUUUUUUUUUUUGAGACGGAAUUUCGCUCUUGUCGCCCAGGCUGGAGUGCAAUGGCACAAUCUGGGCUCACUGCAACCUCCACCUCCUGGGUUCAAGCGAUUCUCCUGUCUCAGCCUCCCGAGUAGCUGGGAUUACAGACACCCACCACCACGCCUGGGUAAUUUUUGUAUUUUUAGUAGAGACGGGGUUUCACCAUGUUGGCCAAGCUGAUCUUGAGCUCCUGAUCUCAGGUGACACCUUGGCUUUCCAAAGUGCUGGGAUUAUAGGUGUGAGCCACUGCACCCAGCCAACCCUGUCUCUUUAAAAAAAAAAAAAAAAAAAAAACUACCCAGAGAGCAGAAGUUUCAACUACAUUGAAUUCCACUAACGCGGAUGAGUAGGUUGAUAGCACAGAGGACCUGAAGAUGAUGAGCCUGUCAACUACUAGAAGGUCUACCCACAUCCCCAAAUUUUGCUACAGUAUUCUGUGCUUGCCAAGCAGUGGCCCCGUCUACAUCAUUCGCCCCUGCCACUCUCUCCUUUGCAUUUAUGUAUCAAUGUUUUCAAACUACUUAGAGUUAUGUAUCACAUGGUCUCUUGAUACCAUACCUUUGCCUGUGUUGUUUCUCUGCCUGGAAUACACUUCUGUCCUAUUUACCUAAUUUACUCCUACUUUUUUUCCCCAAGAUUCAGCUUAUAUGCCAUCUCUUCUUGACUAACCCAAGACUUUUUCUGAUAACAAUUCUCCUUAUAUCUACCCAAGCUGAAUGAUCUUCCCUUCCUUUAAAUAAAUUAUAUUAUAUCAAAAAGAAUUUUUCUUUAGAGAAAUCAAAGAUGAUCUAAAUACAUGGAGGGAUCAGGCAUGAUGGCUCACACCUAUAAUCCCAGCACUUUGGGAGGAGGAGGCAGGAGGAUCGCUUGAGCCCACGAGUUCAAGGCCAGCCUAGGCAACAUAAUGACACCCAUCUUUAUUUAAAAAAAAAUUUUUUAAAUAAAAAAUAGGCCGGGUGCAGUGGCUCAUACCUGUAACUCCCGCACUUUGGGAAGCCAAGACAGGCAAAUCACCUGAGGUCAGGAGUUCAAGACCAGCGUGGCCAACAUGGUGAAACCCCAUCUCUACUAAAAAUACAAAAAUUAGCUUGGUGUGGUGGUGCACACCUGUAAUCCCAGCUACAUGAGAAGCUGAGGCAGGAGAAAUGCUUGAACAGAAAAGACACAGAAAAAGAUGUUCAUAGCAGCAUUCUUUGUAAAAGCCCCAAACUGUAAAUAAUCCAAAUAACCAUCAAAAAUAGAAUAUUAUGGCAUGUUCAUGCAGUGUAAUACCAUGCAGUAAUACAUACGAAUGAACCAAAGCUCUUUGCAAAACCUGAAUGAAUCUCACAAAAAUAAUGUUGAAUAAAAUAAAUCAGAAAUGUUACAAUUUCAUUGAUAUAAGCUUCAAAAACCAGCAAAGUGACACUCUGUUGUUACGGAUGCAUGUUUAGGGAGCAAAACUAAGAAAAGCAAAUGAGGUUACCUUAAGGGGUAGCAGUUACUUUAUGGGGGAGGAAGGAGUAUCCAUUAGAAAGUAGCACAAGGGGAAUCUCUGGAGUGCUGACAGUGAUCUAUUUUUUGACCUGGGUGUUGGUUACAGGGUGUUCAUUUAUUAUCAUUUACUUGGCUGUACAUUUUUUUUUUUUUUAGACAGAGUCUCGCUCUGUCACACAGGCUGGAGUACAGUGGUGUGAUCUCGGCUCACUGCAACCUCCACCUCCUGGGUUCAAGUGAUUCUCCUGCCUCAGCCUCCUGAGUAGCUGGGAUUACAGAUGCCCGCCACCACGCCCAGCUAAUUUUUUGUAUUUUAGUAGGGAUGGGGUUUCGCCAUGUUGGCCAGGCUGGUCUCGAACUGCUGACCUUGAGUGAUUGACCCACCUUGGCCUCCAAAAGUGCUGGGAUUACAGGCGUGAGCCACUGCUCCCAGCCUUAGCUGUACAUUUUUGUUUUGCAUAAUUUUCUAUAUGUGUGCUAAAUUUCACUAUGAGAAACGAUUUUUGGCUGGGCACAGUGGCUCACAUCUGUAAUCCCAGCACUUUAGAAGGCGAGGUGGGUAGAUCACCUGAGGUCAGGAGUUCGAGACCAGCCUGACCAACAUGGUAAAACCCCAUCUCUACUAAAAAUACAAAAAUUAGCUGGGCGUGGUGGCAGGCACCUGUAAUCCUAGCUACUGGGGAGGCUGAGGCAGGAGAAUCGCUUGAACCCAGGAGGCGGAGGUUGCAGUGAGCUGAGAUCGCACCACUGCACUCCAACCUGGGCAACAGAGCGAGACUCUGGCUAAAAAAAAAAAAAAAAAAAUCUUUUUACGGUGGCUCAUGCUUGUAAAUUUAGCACUUUGGGAGUCUGAGGCGGCUGGAUUGCUUGAUUUCAGGAGUUGGAGACCAGCCUGGGCAACAUGGCGAAACCCCGUCUCUACCAAAAACACCGAAAAUUAGCCCGGCAUGGUGGUGAACGCCUGUAGACCCAGCUACUGGGGAUGCUGACAUGGGAGGAUCACUUGAGCCUGGGAGGUGAACUGAGGUUGUGUCACUGUACUCCAUCCUGGGUAACAGAGUGAGACUGUCUCAAAAAAAAAAAAAAAGAUAAAAAUAAUGUUUUGUAUGAAAGGAGAGAACGUCAGCACUCCUCUUGACAAGGAUGGAAGAGGCUCUCAGACCUGACAACAUGCAUGAAGUUAAGGCAUUGCCACCUACUUCAUGGCAUCUAAACAUGUUGUUGUGGUGGUUGUUUUUUAAAGACAGAGCCUACUUGAUACCUAUAUACAUAUAGAAACAUUAACUCAAGGUGAGUUGUAAACCUAAAUGCAAGAACUAAAGCUCUAAAAUUCAGAAGAAAACAUAUGAGUGCCAGGUGCGGUGGCUCACGCCUGUAAUCCCAGCACUGUGGGAGGCCGAGGCCGGCGGAUCACCAGCGCAAGAGAUCGAGACCAUCCUGGCUAACAUGGUGAAACCCCGUCUCUACUAAAAAUACAAAAAAUUAGCCGGGCGUGGUGGCGGGCGCCUGUAGUCCCAGCUACUCGGGAGGCUGAGGCAGGAGAAUGGCGUCAACCCGGGAGGCGGAGCUUGCAGUGAGCCGAGAUUGCGCCACUGCAUUCCAGCCUGGGAAACAGAGCAAGACUCCGUCUCAAAAAAAAAAAAAAAAAAAAAAAAAGGAGUGAAUCUUUGUGACCUUGGAUUAAGCAGUGGUUUCUUAGAUAUAAAAGCACAAACAGUGAAGAAAAAAAGAUAAAUUGAAUUUAACUCAUUUUAUUUUAAUUCAAUGGAUAAAUUGGACUUAAACCAAUUUAACACUUUUGUGUUUCAAAGGACGCCAUCAAGAAAGGCAACCCAUGGAAUUGGAGAAGAUAUUUGCAAAUUAUAUAUUUGAUAAGGGACUAGUGUCUGGAAUAUAUAUAAAACUCUUACAACUCAACAAUAAAAGGACAAUUAACCCCAUUUUUAAAAGGGCAAAGGGGAAACAAGGGGCUGAAAAUGAGCUCAAAUUUAUUUUUUUCAGACAGGGUAUUUCUCUGUCAUCCAAGGCUGGAGUACAGUAGCACGAUCAUGGCUCACCACAGCCUCAACCUCCCAGGCUGAAGUGAUCCUCCCACCUCAGCCUCCCAAGUAGCUGGAACUACAGGCGUGCGCCACUAUAUCUGGAACUCCUGGGCUCAAGCAAUCCUCCUGCUUCAGCCUCCCAAAGUGCUGAAGGAUUACAGGUGUGAGCCACUGCGCCUGGUUUUAAACGUAUGAAAGAAGAUGAGUAAAUAACAGUAAAGCCCUGGGUUGUGAAGAUGUAAUAAUACAAAAAGCAGAGAGAAGGCAGGAUGUUUGACUCCUGACUGUUCCAUCAAGGACUGUAGUCUGGAAAAUAAAUAUUUUGAAGGUGAAAAAUUAAAGCUCAUAUUAGGAUAAAAGACUAUCAGAGAGCACUGAGUUGUCUUAAAUUAAGUCAAGCCUCCUAACCCCAAUAAAACACAUCAUAGUGCCAAAUAAAGUUAAAAAUCCAGCCAGGCGUGGUGGCUCACGCCUGUAAUCCUAGUACUUUGGGAGGCCCAGGUGGGUGGAUCUCUUUCAGCUCAGGAGUUCAAGACCAGCCUGGGCAACACGGUGAAAUUCCAUCUCUACAAAAAAUACCAAAAUGAGCUGGGUGUGGUGGCUCAUGCCUGUGGUUCCAGCUGCUCAGGAGGCUGAGGCUGGAGGGUUGCUUGAAAUGGGUGGCAGAGGUUGCAGUGAGCUGAGAUCACGUCACUGCACCCCAGCCUGGGCAACAGAGUGAGACCUUGUCUGAAAAACAAAUAAAUAAAUAUAUAAAUAUAUAAAUAAAAUAAAGUUAAAAAUCUGAAAAAAUAAAACGGGUAAAUUAUUUCAAUCAAUAUUUCUCUAAGGAAUAUAUACAAAUGGCCAAUAUGCACAUAAAAAUAUUCUCAACAUCAUCAGUCAUCAAAGAAAUGCAAAUCAAACCAGUGAUGUGAUACUACUUCUCAGCCACUAAGAUGGCUAAUAUUAAAAAGACAGAUAGGCCGGGCACAGCGGCUCAUGCCUGUAAUCCCAGCACUUUGGGAGGCCGAGGC